CAGUAAUGUUGGAAAAGAAUCAGUUUAAUAUCCACUGACAUAUGUAUUUUUCAAUAAUUAGGAAACAGAUGUUGCAUCAGAGGUGUGAUGUGGCACCGAAAAAAGCCAAUGUGUUCACACACGACUCGUCUUUUGACCAAACUUCAUCAAAUCCUUUAAUUCAAGAAACGAACGUCGUUACAUCAACUUCAACAGAUACAAAUGAGAGUGACAUUGAUGGAUAUGGAGAUGAGAAGGAAAGCAAUGAAGACAGAAAGCAUUCAGUUUCUCAAGAUGAGCAAAAUUCCACAGAAAUCUCAACAACAGUGCAAGAGUCAAAGGACGAUUCAAAAGAGGAGAUACAAGGAGAAAGGAACAUAAAGGUCAUCAGCAAAAAAAAGCAUGGUGAAGAGGGUUCUGAACAUUUAACAUUGGAUAAAAAACAUGCUGAACAACACAAGUUUGCAGAUGAUGAGACUGAUGUUUCUCAGAAGGGUUCGCUCACUCGGCACUAUUACAUCCCCACUCCAGGCCUAAUUAAUUCUCUGUGUGUGCCGCCAAAUGUCUUGUCAAAUUUAUGCCAGUUUAAUUAUGUUGGAACACUUCCGUUUUUGGCAUCUGAAGCAACUGGUCCUUGGUUAUCUAGAAGGUCAAAUGAAGGGGAGGGUCAAGGUUACACCACUUCAGUCUCAUCCUCACAACAAAGACUUAUUGGCAUGCCUGAUUUUCAGCAGUACAGAACAACCUCUCAGGGUGUGCUUGUCUCAGCGCAUGGAAAUGUAUUAUAUCCACAGAGUUACGUGACCACAUCUGCUGCCACCUCUUCUGCUGUAUCAUAUCAGGAUCAAGGCCCCCCUAUUUUCAAUGUUAGCUACCGGUCCAGAUGCAGACCUUACCCUGUGCCAACGUGGGUGCAUGGCCGAAAAAUGCCACAAACCUCAGUAUUUGUACCAUAUGGUGAAACUGAUACAAAUGAGCAUGCUGGUAUUACAACUCAUGGAUCAACUGAGUUUAGAUCAAAUCCUAAUGAGGGUCAAAACAUACCGUGUCGAGAUCUCUAGAGAUGUCUGUACAGGAGCAACAACAAAUUCAGCUGUAAUGAUGUGCAUUAUGGUAUAUCUAAAGUCUAUGG
rnacentral:lncRNA from 1 species